rnacentral:rRNA from 1 species
GAUGAACGCUGGCGGCGUGCCUAAUACAUGCAAGUCGAGCGAACAGACGAGGAGCUUGCUCCUCUGACGUUAGCGGCGGACGGGUGAGUAACACGUGGAUAACCUACCUAUAAGACUGGGAUAACUUCGGGAAACCGGAGCUAAUACCGGAUAAUAUAUUGAACCGCAUGGUUCAAUAGUGAAAGACGGUUUUGCUGUCACUUAUAGAUGGAUCCGCGCCGCAUUAGCUAGUUGGUAAGGUAACGGCUUACCAAGGCAACGAUGCGUAGCCGACCUGAGAGGGUGAUCGGCCACACUGGAACUGAGACACGGUCCAGACUCCUUCGGGAGGCAGCAGUGGGGAAUCUUCCGCAAUGGGCGAAAGCCUGACGGAGCAACGCCGCGUGAGUGAUGAAGGUCUUCGGAUCGUAAAACUCUGUUAUUGGGGAAGAACAAAUGUGUAAGUAACUAUGCACGUCUUGACGGUACCUAAUCAGAAAGCCACGGCUAACUACGUG